rnacentral:rRNA from 1 species
GAUGAACGCUGGCGGCGUGCCUAAUACAUGCAAGUCGAGCGAACAGACGAGGAGCUUGCUCCUCUGACGUUAGCGGCGGACGGGUGAGUAACACGUGGAUAACCUACCUAUAAGACUGGGAUAACUUCGGGAAACCGGAGCUAAUACCGGAUAAUAUAUUGAACCGCAUGGUUCAAUAGUGAAAGACGGUUUUGCUGUCACUUAUAGAUGGAUCCGCGCCGCAUUAGCUAGUUGGUAAAGUAACGGCUUACCAAGGCAACGAUGCGUAGCCGACCUGAGAGGGUGAUCGGCCACACUGGAACUGAGACACGGUCCAGACUCCUACGGGAGGCAGCAGUAGGGAAUCUUCCGCAAUGGGCGAAAGCCUGACGGAGCAACGCCGCGUGAGUGAUGAAGGUCUUCGGAUCGUAAAACUCUGUUAUUAGGGAAGAACAAAUGUGUAAGUAACUAUGCACGUCUUGACGGUAUCUAAUCAGAAAGCCACGGCUAACUACGUG